rnacentral:lncRNA from 1 species
CUUGCACUGAACAUCCAACCUCUUUGUUUGCAAAGUUAUAAUCCUGUGACAAUGGUGUGGUUUUGGAAUUUCAAAUUAGACCCCUUUCAAUAUCAUCACAACGUUUAAAACUAUAAUAAAGGCUUUCAGAAAUAUGUUCAACUGACAUCUCACAUAUUCUGUGUAAACAGAUUUUUUUUUUCAAUCUUGUUAACUUAAAAAUACUAUUGAUUUGCAGGUGAAGAAAGCAUUCCAGACCAAGCCAUAGAAGAAAAGCUAAUUGAGGCUGCUGCAGAAGAUCUGGAAAGAGAAACGGAACAAGUGAAAGUCUCCUUUCAAAACAAAACACUGGCGUUACAAAGGAUCCAGCUUAUAGAUGCCCUCAGAACCAAACUGAGACACAAUGAUGCCGACUCAAAGUUGAUCUUGG